rnacentral:rRNA from 1 species
CACGUAGGGGCCAAGCGUUGUCCGGAUUUAUUGGGCGUAAAGAGCUCGUAGGCGGUUCGACAAGUCGGGUGUGAAAACUCCGGGCUCAACCCGGAGACGCCACCCGAUACUGUCGUGACUGGAGUCCGGUAGGGGAGUGGGGAAUUCCUGGUGUAGCGGUGAAAUGCGCGGAUAUCGGGAGGAACACCUAUUGCGAAGGCAGCUCGCUGGGACGUUACGUGACGCUGAGACGCGAAAAGCGUGGGGAGCAAACAGGG